rnacentral:misc_RNA from 1 species
UUGGAAGUAAAAGUCGUAACAAGGUUUCCGUAGGUGAACCUGCGGAAGGAUCAUUACAGUUAUUAAUUUUUGCCAGCGCUUAACUGCGCGGCGAAAACUAAUCCUUACACACUGUGUUUUUUGUUAUUACAAGAACCAUUGCUUUGGCUUGGCCGCAAGGUUGGGCCAGAGGACACACAAACUUCAAUUUUAUUGAAUUGUUAAUUUUAAUUAUUUGUCAAUUUGUUUGAUUAAUUUCAAAAUAAUCUUCAAAACUUUCAACAACGGAUCUCUUGGUUCUCGCAUCGAUGAAGAACGCAGCGAAAUGCGAUAAGUAAUAUGAAUUGCAGAUUUUCGUGAAUCAUCGAAUCUUUGAACGCACAUUGCGCCCUCUGGUAUUCCGGGGGGCAUGCCUGUUUGAGCGUCAUUUCUCUCUCAAACCUUUGGGUUUGGUAUUGAGUGGUACUCUUAGUCAGACUAGGCGUUUGCUUGAAAUGUAUUGGCAUGGGUGUGCUAGAUAGUGCGUCCUGAUUAUUCAAUGUAUUAGGUUUAUCCAACUCG